UAGAGUAAUGGUUCACCUAUCUCUUGCCCUGGGAGGCUGACACCUGUAGACUGCAUCUCACGCUCUCCUUGGCCAGCUAGCUUCAAGUUGAGUUCAGCUAGAAAACAACCCUGACAAGGAAAUGAGAAGACUAUUAAAAUGCACCAACCCAAGGUCUCCAGUGCUGCUGAGUCCCCCGUGUCACCUCCUGCAACUGCCACAGUUGUCAACAGCUCAAAUCCUAGAGACCUUCUUCAUUAGGUCAAUGAGUAUCUAAACUUUAAAAAAUAAAUAAAGGGGUAAUUAUUAGCUUGCCCCCCAUCCCAACAAGGCCAGAUUUCCUUAAAUGUCAGUACCUUGGUAAAUAUAAAUAUGCUUUGAUUUUAAAAAGCAACAUUUGUG
rnacentral:lncRNA from 10 species